AAGUCGAGCGAUGAAGUUUCCUUCGGGAAACGGAUUAGCGGCGGACGGGUGAGUAACACGUGGGCAACCUGCCUUAUAGAGGGGAAUAGCCUUCCGAAAGGAAGAUUAAUACCGCAUAACAUUAUCGAAUGGCAUCAUUUGAUAAUCAAAGGAGCAAUCCGCUAUAAGAUGGGCCCGCGUCGCAUUAGUUAGUUGGUGGGGUAAUGGCCUACCAAGACGACGAUGCGUAGCCGACCUGAGAGGGUGAUCGGCCACAUUGGGACUGAGACACGGCCCAGACUCCUACGGGAGGCAGCAGUGGGGAAUAUUGCACAAUGGGGGAAACCCUGAUGCAGCAACGCCGCGUGAGCGAUGAAGGUCUUCGGAUCGUAAAGCUCUGUCUUUAGGGAUGAUAAUGACAGUACCUAAGGAGGAAGCCACGGCUAACUACGUGCCAGCAGCCGCGGUAAUACGUAGGUGGCAAGCGUUAUCCGGAAUUAUUGGGCGUAAAGGGAGCGUAGGCGGAUAUUUAAGUGGGAUGUGAAAUACAUGAGCUCAACUCGUGUGCUGCAUUCCAAACUGGAUAUCUAGAGUGCAGGAGAGGAGAGUGGAAUUCCUAGUGUAGCGGUGAAAUGCGUAGAGAUUAGGAAGAACACCAGUGGCGAAGGCGACUCUCUGGACUGUAACUGACGCUGAGGCUCGAAAGCGUGGGGAGCGAACAGGAUUAGAUACCCUGGUAGUCCACGC
rnacentral:rRNA from 1 species